CGGAGAAGAUGGACACUCAACCCAUCUCGCCUUACAACCAUGCCAAUUUCAAAAGGACCUGAAGGAAGCCAGCAGUUGUUUGGAGUUUGGGGAGCCAGCAGCCAGGGAACACAGCCAAAAGCUCUUUUAGCCAAAGGUGUCACAACAGCAGCAGCGGUCAUACAUAACUCUCCACAGGAACAACCUGAAAGAAUUCCAACACAGGAAGCAAGGCCAACCAAAUGGCUGGUGUGGUACUGAGCACUGUAGUAUGGCAGCUUUCCCCAACCUGGUGCCCCCUAUAUGCCACAGGGAUCGAAACCACUACCAUCCCUGGUCAAGGAAAUUUGAGAUGCCAUAGAAGAAAAACCCACUAGAGAUCGCUGGAAUGGAAAACUUAAUUUAGACCCAUAACUGGAAGGAGAGUAAAGGCUUUUUGUUUUUUUAAUGCCAGGUUUACCUGUAGAAUAACUGGGACAAAUAAAAGAGAUUGCCUUGCUUUA